UGGGGCAUAUUGGACAAUGCGGGAAACCGUGAUCCAGCCAUGCCGCGUGAGUGAUGAUGGCCUUAGGGUUGUAAAGCUCUUUUACCAGGGAUGAUAAUGACAGUACCUGGAGAAUAAGCUCCGGCUAACUCCGUGCCAGCAGCCGCGGUAAUACGGAGGGAGCUAGCGUUGUUCGGAAUUACUGGGCGUAAAGCGCGCGUAGGCGGCUAUCCAAGUCAGGGGUGAAAUCCCGGGGCUCAACCCCGGAACUGCCCAUGAUACCAGGUAGCUACAAUACUGGAGAGGUGAGUGGAAUUCCGAGUGUAGAGGUGAAAUUCGUAGAUAUUCGGAAGAACACCAGUGGCGAAGGCGACUCACUGGACAGUUAUUGACGCUGAGGUGCGAAAGCGUGGGGAGCAAACAGGAUUAGAUACCCCCGUAGUCC
rnacentral:rRNA from 1 species